UACGUAGGGUGCAAGCGUUGUCCGGAAUUAUUGGGCGUAAAGAGCUCGUAGGCGGUCUGUUGCGUCGGCUGUGAAAACCCGGGGCUCAACCCCGGGCCUGCAGCCGAUACGGGCAGACUAGAGUUCGGCAGGGGAGACUGGAAUCCCUGGUGUAGCGGUGAAAUGCGCAGAUAUCAGGAGGAACACCGGUGGCGAAGGCGGGUCUCUGGGCCGAUACUGACGCUGAGGAGCGAAAGCGUGGGGAGCGAACAGG
rnacentral:rRNA from 1 species